CACGGUAGCAGGCCCUUCGGUGCUGACGAGUGGCGGACGGGUGCGUAACGCGUAUGCAACCUACCUUAUGCAGGGGGAUAGCCCAUGGAAACGUGGAUUAAUACCCCAUAAAAUUAUUUGGUCGCAUGGUCAGAUAAUAAAAGUUACGGCGGCAUAAGAUGGGCAUGCGUCUGAUUAGUUAGUUGGUAAGGUAACGGCUUACCAAGGCAACGAUCAGUAGGGGUCCUGAGAGGGUUUCCCCCCACACUGGUACUGAGACACGGACCAGACUCCUACGGGAGGCAGCAGUGAGGAAUAUUGGUCAAUGGGCGCGAGCCUGAACCAGCCAUCCCGCGUGCAGGAAGACGGCCUUAUGGGUUGUAAACUGCUUUUCUACGCCAAGAAACGGCCUUACGUGUAAGGCACUGACGGUAGCGUAGGAAUAAGCAUCGGCUAACUCCGUGCCAGCAGCCGCGGUAAUACGGAGGAUGCAAGCGUUAUCCGGAUUCAUUGGGUUUAAAGGGUGCGCAGGCGGGGAAAUAAGUCAGUGGUGAAAAGCUGCCGCUUAACGGUAGUCUUGCCAAUGAUACUGUUUUUCUUGAGUAUGGUUAAGGUAGGCGGAAUGUGCAGUGUAGCGGUGAAAUGCAUAGAGAUUGCACCGAAGGCCGAUUGCGGAGGCAGCUUACUGAGCCAUAACUGACGCUGAGGCACGAAAGCGUGGGGAUCAAACCGGAUUAGAUACCCUGGUU
rnacentral:rRNA from 1 species